rnacentral:rRNA from 1 species
UACGGGGGGGGCGAGCGUUAUUCGGAAUUAUUGGGCGUAAAGGGCGCGUAGGCGGCCCGGUAAGUCAAAGGUGAAAUCCCUCGGCUCAACUGAGGAACUGCCUUUGAAACUGUCGGGCUUGAGGCCGGGAGGGGGUAGCGGAAUUCCCAGUGUAGCGGUGAAAUGCGUAGAUAUUGGGAGGAACACCAGUGGCGAAGGCGGCUACCUGGACCGGUUCUGACGCUGAUGCGCGAAAGCGUGGGGAGCAAACAGG